UCAAGCCAGUCAGAAAUUCAGUGUCUGAGCAGUAAGCUGGAGCAGGUGCAUGAUACUAUCUGUGCCAAUGAGUUGGAGAUAGAGUGCCUCACCAUGAGGGUCAGUGACUUGGUUGGAACUAAUAUGACUGUUAUGCAGGAACAGUGGCAAAAAGAAAAAUUGAGGGAAUCUGAAAAACUUUAAGAGGUUUUUCAGGAAGAAAAGAGAAAAUUGAAGUCAGCUCUUCAGUCACCAGAAAAUUUCAUUCAUGAGACAAGAGUACAAAUAGAAAUGCUUUAAGCAAAAUCAAAGGCAACAGACUCUCAGCACAUAGUAGAGGCCAUAAGGUCACUGGAGGAGCCUCCGGCAGAAAGGAGGUACACCUGCCAAGGGCAGGAGGAGUCAGACAAUGUGGUUUCCCAGCUGGAUUUGACCCACAGUAGUGAAGAGUUUCUGCAAGUAGAGGUGACUCACCUGGA